GAUGAACGCUGGCGGCGUGCCUAAUACAUGCCAGUCGAGCGAACGGACGAGAAGCUUGCUUCUCUGAUGUUAACGGCGGACGGGUGAGUAACACGUGGAUAACCUACCUAUAAGACUGGGAUAACUUCGGGAAACCGGAGCUAAUACCGGAUAAUAUUUUGAACCGCAUGGUUCAAAAGUAAAAGACGGUCUUGCUGUCACUUAUAGAUGGAUCCGCGCUGCAUUAGCUAGUUGGUAAGGUAACGGCUUACCAAGGCAACGAUGCAUAGCCGACCUGAGAGGGUGAUCGGCCACACUGGAACUGAGACACGGUCCAGACUCCUACGGGAGGCAGCAGUAGGGAAUCUUCCGCAAUGGGCGAAAGCCUGACGGAGCAACGCCGCGUGAGUGAUGAAGGUCUUCGGAUCGUAAAACUCUGUUAUUAGGGAAGAACAUAUGUGUAAGUAACUGUGCACAUCUUGACGGUACCUAAUCAGAAAGCCACGGCUAACUACGUG
rnacentral:rRNA from 1 species